GACGAACGCUGGCGGCGUGCUUAACACAUGCAAGUCGAACGGAAAGGCCCUGCUUUUGUGGGGUGCUCGAGUGGCGAACGGGUGAGUAACACGUGAGUAACCUGCCCUUGACUUUGGGAUAACUUCAGGAAACUGGGGCUAAUACCGGAUAGGAGCUCCUGCUGCAUGGUGGGGGUUGGAAAGUUUCGGCGGUUGGGGAUGGACUCGCGUCUUAUCAGCUUGUUGGUGGGGUAGUGGCUUACCGAGGCUUUGACGGGUAGCCGGCCUGAAAGGAUGACCGGCGACAUUGGGACUGAGAUACGGCCCAGACUCCUACGGGAGACAGCAGUAGGGAAUAUUGCAAAAUGGGCGAAAGCCUGAUCGAGCAACGCCGCGUGCGGGAUGACGGCCUCUGGGGUGUGAACCGCUUUCGCCUGUGACGAAGCGUGAGUAACAGUAAUGGGUAAAGAAGCACCGGCUAACCACGUG
rnacentral:rRNA from 1 species